rnacentral:sRNA from 1 species
AUCACUACUCUGCUGAUCUCAUGCUACUUCAU